rfam:Frankia sp. CcI3, complete genome.
GCAGCGCCGGGCGUCCGCGCCCGGCGAGGUUCCCAAC